GACGAACGCUGGCGGCGUGCCUAAUACAUGCAAGUCGAACGCAGUGGGGACGGGCUAGUAACCCGUGUGUAACCUCCCAUCAGAGGGGAUAACACUUGGAAACAGGUGCUACACCCAUACUGUUGGAUGGACCCGCGGUGCCUUAGCUAGUUGGUGCGGGAACGGGUCAUCAAGGCCACGAUGCAUAGCAGAUCUGAGAGGGUGAUCGGCAACACUGGGAAUGAGACACGGCCCAGACGCCUACGGGAGGCAGCAGUAGGGAAGAUUCGGCAAUGGACGAAAGUCGGACCGAGCAACGCCGCGUGAGUGAAGAAGGUUUUCGGAUCUGAAAACUCUGUUGUUAGAGAAGCGGUAUCUAACCAGAAAGCCACGGCUAACUACGUGCCAGCAGCCGCGGUAAUAC
rnacentral:rRNA from 1 species